AUGAAAACAUCCUCACAGUCCACUUUAGAGAACUCUGGAAGGCAUGUCGCUCCUUUGGAGAUGCAUAUCCAGGAGUCUUCCCAAUGGGAAUAUUAAGAGACCACACUGCCUUGUGUAUUACAGACAUCAACCGGCAUCCACCACUCACAUAGAUUCAACAGAUACAUGCAACAACCGAAGGACAAGCGUCAGAAGAUUGGAUUUAAAGUCCUCCAAACUGAAUGAUGUGACACAGCCUCCUGGAUGAUCUGGAGGAUUUCAUGGACCUUGGUUAUGGACUGCAGGAUUAUAAUGUGAUGUGCACUCAAGAUUCCUUCGCAGGAAAAUGACCUUAUAAUGUAACUGCUUUCUAAACAACCACUGCAGAUCUGGGGAUCCCAAAAUGUCAUCUUUGCAAAGAAAUCCUAUGACCUUCCUUUGACUUUACAGAAGAUUACAACUUGGGCAUCUUAAUGCAUCAGUACAAAAAAUCA